rnacentral:rRNA from 1 species
AACGAACGCUGGCGGCGCGCCUAAUACAUGCAAGUCGAGCGAGAAGACGUAGCAAUACGUUUGUAAAGCGGCGAACGGGUGAGGAAUACAUGGGUAACCUACCCUCGAGUGGGGAAUAACUAGCCGAAAGGUUAGCUAAUACCGCGUACGCUCCUUGGACUUCGGUUCAGGGAGGAAAGCGAUACCGUGGGUAUCGCGCUCUUGGAUGGGCUCAUGUCCUAUCAGCUUGUUGGGAGGUAACGCUCACCAAGCUUCGACGGUAGCUGGUCUGAGAGGACGAUCAGCCACACUGGCACUGCGACGACGGGCCAGA